rnacentral:rRNA from 1 species
AACGAACGCUGGCGGCGUGCCUAACACAUGCAAGUCGAGCGCCCCGCAAGGGGAGCGGCAGACGGGUGAGUAACACGUGGGAACGUGCCCUUCAGUUCGGAACAACCCAGGGAAACUUGGGCUAAUACCGGAUACGUCCGUAAGGAGAAAGAUUUAUCGCUGAGGGAUCGGCCCGCGUCUGAUUAGCUUGUUGGUGAGGUAACGGCUCACCAAGGCUACGAUCAGUAGCUGGUCUGAGAGGAUGAUCAGCCACACUGGGACUGAGACACGGCCCAGACUCCUACGGGAGGCAGCAGUGGGGAAUAUUGGACAAUGGGCGCAAGCCUGAUCCAGCCAUGCCGCGUGAGUGAUGAAGGCCCUAGGGUUGUAAAGCUCUUUCGGCGGGGAAGAUAAUGACGGUACCCGCAGAAGAAGCCCCGGCCAACUUCGUG